AGAACUUGAAACCGUGUGCUUACAAGUAGUCAGAGCCCGUUAAUGGGUGAUGGCGUGCCUUUUGUAGAAUGAACCGGCGAGUUACGAUCUGAUGCAAGGUUAAGCAGAAAAUGUGGAGCCGUAGCGAAAGCGAGUCUGAAUAGGGCGAAUGAGUAUUUGGUCGUAGACCCGAAACCAGGUGAUCUACCCUUGGUCAGGUUGAAGUUCAGGUAACACUGAAUGGAGGACCGAACCGACUUACGUUGAAAAGUGAGCGGAUGAACUGAGGGUAGCGGAGAAAUUCCAAUCGAACUUGGAGAUAGCUGGUUCUCUCCGAAAUAGCUUUAGGGCUAGCCUCAAGUGAUGAUUAUUGGAGGUAGAGCACUGUUUGGACGAGGGGCCCCUCUCGGGUUACCGAAUUCAGACAAACUCCGAAUGCCAAAUAAUUUAACUUGGGAGUCAGAAUGUGGGUGAUAAGGUCCAUAUUCGAAAGGGAAACAGCCCAGACCACCAGCUAAGGUCCCAAAAUAUAUGUUAAGUGGAAAAGGAUGUGGCGUUGCCCAGACAACUAGGAUGUUGGCUUAGAAGCAGCCAUCAUUUAAAGAGUGCGUAAUAGCUCACUAGUCGAGUGACACUGCGCCGAAAAUGUACCGGGGCUAAACAUAUUACCGAAGCUGUGGAUUGUCCUUUGGACAAUGGUAGGAGAGCGUUCUAAGGGCGUUGAAGCAUGAUCGCAAGGACAUGUGGAGCGCUUAGAAGUGAGAAUGCCGGUGUGAGUAGCGAAAGACGGGUGAGAAUCCCGUCCACCGAUUGACUAAGGUUUCCAGAGGAAGGCUCGUCCGCUCUGGGUUAGUCGGGUCCUAAGCUGAGGCCGACAGGCGUAGGCGAUGGAUAACAGGUUGAUAUUCCUGUACCACCAUUAUUCGUUUUAAGCGAUGGGGGGACGCAGUAGGAUAGGCGAAGCGUGCUGUUGGAG
rnacentral:rRNA from 1 species